rnacentral:rRNA from 1 species
UACGGAAGGCAGCAGUGGGGAAUAUUGCACAAUGGGCGCAAGCCUGAUGCAGCCAUGCCGCGUGUAUGAAAAGGCCUUCGGGUUGUAAAGUACUUUCAGUCGUGAGGAAGGUGUUAAGGUUAAUAACCUUAGCAAUUGACGUUAGCGACAGAAGAAGCACCGGCUAACUCCGUGCCAGCAGCCGCGGUAAUACGGAGAGUGCGAGCGUUAAUCGGAAUUACUGGGCGUAAAGGGCACGCAGGCGGUUAAUUAAGUUGGAUGUGAAAUCCCCGGGCUUAACCUGGGAAUGGCAUUCAAGACUGGUUAGCUAGAGUCUUGUAGAGGGGGUAGAAUUCCAUGUGUAGCGGUGAAAUGCGUAGAGAUGUGGAGGAAUACCGGUGGCGAAGGCGGCCCCUGGACAAAGACUGACGCUCAUGUGCGAAAGCGUGGGGAGCAAAC